UACAGAGGGUGCAAGCGUUAAUCGGAGUUACUGGGCGUAAAGGGCGCGUAGGCGGUUAGUUAAGUGAGAUGUGAAAGCCCUGGGCUUAACCUAGGAAUGGCAUCUUAAACUGGUUAACUGGAGUACUGUAGAGGGUAGUGGAAUUUCCGGUGUAGCGGUGAAAUGCGUAGAGAUCGGAAGGAACACCAGUGGCGAAGGCGGCUACCUGGACAGAUACUGACGCUGAGGCGCGAGAGCGUGGGGAGCAAACAGG
rnacentral:rRNA from 1 species